AUCAACUUUCGAUGGUAGGAUAGAGGCCUACCAUGGUGGUAACGGGUAACGGGGUGUUAGGGCACGACACCGGAGAGGGAGCCUGAGAAACGGCUACCACAUCCAAGGAUGGCAGCAGGCGCGCAAAUUACCCAAUCCCGACACGGGGAGGUAGUGACAAUAAAUAACAAUACGGGGUUCUUUAGGAUUUCGUAAUUGGAAUGAGUACAAUUUAAAUCUCUUAACGAGGAACAAUUGGAGGGCAAGUCUGGUGCCAGCAGCCGCGGUAAUUCCAGCUCCAAUAGCGUAUAUUAAAGUUGUUGCAGUUAAAAAGCUCGUAGUUGAAUUUCGGGGUCAGUAGGUUGGUCAUGCCACAGGUAUGUACUGGCCUCACUGAUUCCUCCUUCCUGAUGAGCCGUAAUGCCAUUAAUUUGGUGUUGCGAGGAAUCUGGACUGUUACUUUGAAAAAAUUAGAGUGUUUAAAGCAGGCUAACGCUUGAAUACAUUAGCAUGGAAUAAUGAAAUAGGACGUUCGAUCUUAUUUUGUUGGUUUCUAAGAUUGACGUAAUGAUUAAUAGGGAUAGUUGGGGGCAUUAGUAUUCAAUUGUCAGAGGUGAAAUUCUUGGAUUUAUUGAAGACUAACUACUGCGAAAGCAUUUGCCGAGGAUGUUUUCAUUAAUCAAGAACGAAAGUUAGGGGAUCGAAGACGAUCAGAUACCGUCGUAGUCUUAACCAUAAACUAUGCCGACUAGGGAUCGGAUGAUGUUAAUUUUUUAAUGACUCAUUCGGCGCCUUACGGGAAACCAAAGUGUUUGGGUUC
rnacentral:rRNA from 1 species